CCUGGCUCAGAGCGAACGUUAGCGGCGGGCCUAACACAUGCAAGUCGAACGCGAAAGGUCUUCGGACUGAGUAGAGUGGCGCACGGGUGAGUAACACGUAGGUAAUCUACCCUUUGGCGGGGGAUAACGUUCCGAAAGGAGCGCUAAUACCGCAUAAGACCACGGAGUCUCCGGACGCUGUGGGAAAAGGUGGCCUCUUCUUGAAAGCUACCACCGAAGGAUGAGCCUGCGUCCCAUCAGCUAGUUGGUAAGGUAAUGGCUUACCAAGGCGAAGACGGGUAGCUGGUUUGAGAGAAUGAUCAGCCACACUGGCACUGGAACACGGGCCAGACUCCUACGGGAGGCAGCAGUGAGGAAUAUUGGGCAAUGGGCGAAAGCCUGACCCAGCCACGCCGCGUGAGUGAUGAAGGCCCUCGGGUCGUAAAGCUCUGUGGAGAGGGACGAAAACCCUGGUUUCAAAUAGGCUCCAGGCUUGACGGUACCUCUUUAGCAAGCACCGGCUAACUCUGUG
rnacentral:rRNA from 1 species